CAUGCUGGGGACAAGGACUGAGGGCUUGUAGGGAAACCCUGCCCUCGCUCACACACUGCUGUACUACCUCCACGUCACCACCCAUGCAGAGCACAGCCUGGAAAAGCAGAUCAGAAGAUCAGCUCCAAGACAGAGUGGGCUGCCAGGACAGGCUCCAUGGCAUGAAACAGGGCACUGCUCUCCAUAGUGUGCAAGGAUGUCUGACCCCAUAGCACUGCCUAGACCUCAGGAAUUACUUGCCUCAGGUAAUUAAUUGCUGAUCAUCUGGCUCCUCCCCUGCUGCUUUGGAUGCAUAGAUUUGAAAUCAGACAGCUGGGUCCAGCUGACCCAUACCUGGGGCUGCCACAACAGGAGACAGCAGGCAGCAGAGGUGACUUUACCACUCUCUGCUUUUAGGGCUGUGCCUUGGGUCAAGAUAGAGCUUCCCCAGUGCAAACACUGCUGCCAUUUUCACAUGAUUUCAAGCCCAUAUUAGAAGCAGAAUGCAGGAAUGCUCUGGCUUCACCCUUCUCAGAGGAUCUCAGGAUUGGGACACCACCAGAACAUCUCAUCCUCUCUGCCAUGUACCGGCACAUAAGCAAUGGCUUUCCUGCAAGUUCUCAGCCUCUCCCUGAGAGACAGUGAGAAGUGGGGGAGGAUGUGCAGUAACGCCAGAGGGCAGAGGAUACAAGAGAGUAAGUAAGAGCUGUAGCUGAAAACAGAGGACAACUACUUGCAUCGAGCUCAAAGAUGGAAAAAAGAGGAGAAAGUAGCUGGUGCUGCAAUGAUGGAGAUGAUGGCUAGAUGGUGCUAGCACAUGCUCCUGUGCUUCUAACAUGAACUAGUGCAACAUUAUUGUUGUUUUUCCUUUAGACAGAGGUUUCAUUUCCAUUGCAAGAGCUGGAGAAACUACUGUCUGUUGAUGGUAUUGCUAAUAGAGAACUGGUGGACCCCAACGGAGUUCUUGUUCACGUCAAAGAUGAAGGGUUUUUGGAGUAUGAGAAAGAUAAUUCUCUCUUUGCAGUACUGGGGAAUGAUAGCAGCCGUCUCAACCCAGUAGUCCUGUGUUGGCUAAACAUGGCACAAAAUAUAUCUGCCUGACGUCAUCCCUGAACUCACACCUUCUUGUGCUGUGCUGCAGAAACCCGUUCUUAAUCCUCUGGACUAUCGUCGAUUAAACUCUCCUGGCUGUGCUGAUAGAGCCGGCUCCAGUCACCAAGGCAACAGCAGGCUCCUCAGCCCCUGCAAGGAGCAUAUCCACGCGGUGAGGCGAAGAUCCUGGCUCCAGCACAGCCAGUCCUGCAAGCCACACACUUUCAAUUUGUACGUUGUGUUUUUUAUUUGGCGCUGCAUCCUGCUUGUAGCAGAGCAUCUGUACGGCUCUUCAGAAGAUCCAGCACCAGGUGGGAGAGAUCCUGUGCCCACUGUGCUGAAAACCAAUGGGCUUCUGGGACACCUGCUGGUGGACUGGUGCUUGACACCCAAGGUCCUGAGAAGUUCAGGCGUACACAAGGACUAUUUCCAAACUCCAGAGCUUGGAUUAAAUGUCUCCAAUUCUCUUAGUGAAUAUAUGUCAUGAACAACGACCACUGAGGGUAAAUCAGAUCUUGAAUAUAGGUUCAGACCUAAAAAAACUCCCCAUAUAUUACAGCUUACACAGAGCCCAGCAACCACUAGAGGGAACAGAAGCUCACAAUGAAUGACAAAAUUACAAGAUUGCUCUCUAAAAUGAAUGCAGUCAAUGAGAAAAUACUAGCCGACAUUCUCCAUUAGGACUGGAGAUGAAAUAUAGACAUCCGCUGAUCUGGUGCACUGACUUCCAAGGACUUGCUCCUGAUUCACUCUGCUACAAUCAAGUGGAGAAGAUCUCCACAUGAUUGCUCCCAGGAAGGAAUCCUUUACAGAUCUCUGGAUCUGUGAAGCAGCCAAAGGGAAAUUUGAAACAGUAGUAGAAACAGUCCCAUUAGUGCCUUUUGUCCACAGGACUCAUCUUGAUCCUGUUAACUGCGACUAACCUAUUUCCUAACAAAUGCACUUUUUGGUACUGCCUCCUUCUUAGGUGCAAGUUUUCCUCUAAUUCCUGUUGAUGCUACCCUGCCUGGCACAGAGUGAACCAUUUCCCUUCAUUCCCACAAGCAAAUCCCAUGCAGCCCUGUGCAGCAGGUAUCAAGAGCCACCUGGCCCCACUGCAGAGAAAAACUCAGUCUAGAGGCCCUCAGCUGAGCAGCAGACAUAUAGCACAGCUCCAAAGAUAGGUCAUGUAUGUGGUUCUUUUCUGGCCUCACUUUUCCCCUGGAGGAAGAGGAAAACCUUGGUUUUAGUAUGGCUACAAUCACCAUGGCUGCCUGGCACAAAAAUCAAUGGAAGAGCAUGAAAUCUAGUCCAGUCUCUGUCAUGGCACUUCUCAGCUGGGAAGUUGCCUUUACCCUUUCCUCCCACCCUCAGGGCCAGUCCAGCUACCCCCAUUGUCCGCAAAGCACAGCAGCAAAAUUUUUACCCAGCUGCAAGGACUUCACUCACAGAUGUGCUUAGAUGUGCACACACACAAGUGUUACUCAUGGCCUGUCUUCCUCUGCCUGCAUCUUCAAAUGUCAGUCUCAGAGAGGUUCUGGGGCUGACUCAUUCCAAGCACAAAUUCUGGCCUGCCCAUGACCUGCAUGUCUGAGAAAUUCUGCUCGGCCAGCUUUAUUUCAGACCUUGGCUGUGGGCAGGAAUCAUAUGUCAGGGAGUAAAGCUCAACUCCUUUGUGAUUGACAAGGAGGCCUCUGGGUGUCCUUUAACCUAAUGCUGCUGCAGAAAUGGGCUGGUGCCACAAAGCACAGCAGUAGGAUCAACUCUGACUGAGGUCAGGGAAAUGCCAGCCUGCAGUUUCAGAUCUUCUACAGAGGCGGAAUGACCAUAUGCCUCUGUCUGGAUCCCAGUUUAGGCUUGGAAUAUGAACCAUGAAAAACUAACAGGGUAGUUGAAUCCCAGACCCGGAAUUGGGAUUCUCCCUAAUCUUUUCAGACAAAUGCUUCAGGAUUUUUAUGUAAGACCCUCCAGUACUCAAACAGGAGCAUUAUGGCCUGAUUCCAUAGAGCUGUAAAUUCUCUUAUCAAAUGUUCAGUUCUUGACCUGAUCAUCAUGGGAAGCCUGUUCCUAAAACAAAAGGUGUUUGCACAGCACACAAGACUAAGAAAUAAGAUUCUUCUGUACAGUAGAUUACUAACACCUUUGAAAAAUCUGGCCUGUCCAGACUUCAGUCAUUUCUAGAAGGUUAAGUUUUGUAAUACUUUGCACCCUCAGAUGUCACUUGGAGCUUUGCUCAUGAUUUCUGUGGGGACAGGUUUUAUUUUAAGGGCAUUUCAUCUUAUCAGAAACCAAAAGCACUUCAUACACUCUGUGCAUAUGGGUAUAACCUAGCCAUUCAGGGAAAUGCUGUCUCUGUAGGACAGUCAUGGGCUAACAAGACAGGCGCAUGCAUAUAAAAAUCAUCAUGUUAAGGCCUUAAUUUUUCUGAAAAGUUUUGCCUCCAAGUGCUAUGCAAA